ACGCUCUUAGUCCAAUGGCAAGACGCUGGUCUCCAAAACCAGAGACCGGGGUUCGACUCUCCGAGGGCGUG
rnacentral:tRNA from 1 species